rnacentral:rRNA from 1 species
AGAGUUUGAUCCUGGCUCAGAACGAACGCUGGCGGCGUGCCUAACACAUGCAAGUCGAACGGAUUUGAGGGGCUUGCUCCUCAAGUUAGUGGCGCACGGGGGAGUAANNNNNNNNNNNNNNNNNNNNNNNNNNNNNNNNNNNNNNNNNNNNNNNNNNNNNNNNNNNNNNNNNNNNNAUAUGAAGAGAAAAGGUGGCCUCUGAAUAUGCUACUGUGCUGAGAUGAGCUUGCGUACCAUUAGCUAGUUGGUAGGGUAAUGGCCUACCAAGGCAACGAUGGUUAGCGGGUCUGAGAGGAUGAUCCGCCACACUGGAACUGAAACACGGACCAGACUCCUACGGGAGGCAGCAGUGAGGAAUAUUGCGCAAUGGGGGCAACCCUGACGCAGCGACGCCGCGUGGAUGAUGAAGGCCUUCGGGUCGUAAAAUCCUGUCAGAUGGAAAGAAGUGCAUGGUGGCUAAUACCUGCCAUGUUUGACGGUACCGGUGAAGGAAGCAUCGGCUAACUCCGUGCCAGCAGCCGCGGUAAUACGGGGGAUGCAAGCGUUAUUCGGAAUUAUUGGGCGUAAAGGGCGCGUAGGCGGUUUUGUCGGUCAGAUGUGAAAGCCCAGGGCUCAACCCUGGACGUGCAUUUGAAACAGCAAGACUUGAGUACGGGAGAGGAAAGCGGAAUUCCUGGUGUAGAGGUGAAAUUCGUAGAUAUCAGGAGGAACACCGAUGGCGAAGGCAGCUUUCUGGACCGAUACUGACGCUGAGGCGCGAAGGCGUGGGUAGCGAACAGGAUUAGAUACCCUGGUAGUCCACGCAGUAAACGAUGUACACUCGGUGUAGCGGAUAUUAAAAUCUGCUGCGCCCAAGCUAACGCAUUAAGUGUACCGCCUGGGGAGUACGGUCGCAAGACUAAAACUCAAAGGAAUUGACGGGGGCCCGCACAAGCGGUGGAGCAUGUGGUUUAAUUCGACGCAACGCGAAGAACCUUACCUGGGUUUGACAUCCUGUGAAUCUUGUAGAGAUACGAGAGUGCCUUCGGGAGCACAGAGACAGGUGCUGCAUGGCUGUCGUCAGCUCGUGUCGUGAGAUGUUUGGUUAAGUCCAGCAACGAGCGCAACCCUUAUCUUUAGUUGCCAGCACAUCAUGGUGGGAACUCUAAAGAGACUGCCCGGGUCAACCGGGAGGAAGGUGGGGAUGACGUCAAGUCCUCAUGGCCCUUAUGUCCAGGGCUACACACGUGCUACAAUGGUAAGUACAGAAGGCAGCGAACCUGUGAGGGGGAGCCAAUCCUUAAAGCUUAUCUCAGUCCGGAUUGGAGUCUGCAACUCGACUCCAUGAAGUUGGAAUCGCUAGUAAUCGCGGAUCAGCAUGCCGCGGUGAAUAAGUUCCCGGGCCUUGUACACACCGCCCGUCACACCAUGGGAGUUGAUUAUACCCGACGUCGCUGGGCUAACUGGCAACAGAGGCAGGCGCCUAAGGUAUGGUCGAUAACUGGGGUGAAGUCGUAACAAGGUAACC